rnacentral:lncRNA from 1 species
AGUGGUGCUGUGAAUGGUUCUGGAGUCAACGCUCCAAGCCGUUCGGUGGCUCAUUAAUUCUCUAGAUGGAGUUUUCUAUUAAAGGACGUGUUUCUGAAGGGGAUCCAUCCCGAGGAGGCGGCUAAGUUGCCAGUAGUUUUCCAAGACAGCCGAAGGGCUGUGACUUUGGCAACACCCGCUGCCUGCAGUGUGCUCAGACUCUGAGGUUGGAAAUGGAGAACACAUCUUAGAGUUCCAUGCACAAGAUUCCCGUUUCCAGACUCACUGUCUGGCUGUCCUCAGAGCACUGUUGCCCAUUGCAGUGAGCAGAAGGGAGUGCUGGUUGGGUGCUGCUCUGACCAUGUAGUGCCACUGGUGUCCCUACAGCUGCAUGGCAGAGCACUGCAUCAGCCUUGCUCACAGCUGGGAGGAGGACAGCCUCACCAGCAGCCUGAGAAGGAGUGAGGAGAAGGGAAGUUUUGUGCUCUUCACAUUGAAGGCAAAACUUCUUUGCAUAAACUCUGCUAACAGAAUCUGGCUUGCAAAACUUGAAAUGUGA